ACCCGCUGAACUUAAGCAUAUCAAUAAGCGGAGGAAAAGAAACCAACAGGGAUUGCCCUAGUAACGGCGAGUGAAGCGGCAACAGCUCAAAUUUGAAAUCUGGCGUCUUUGGCGUCCGAGUUGUAAUUUGCAGAGGGCGCUUUGGCAUUGGCAGCGGUCCAAGUUCCUAGGAACAGGACGUCACAGAGGGUGAGAAUCCCGUACGUGGUCGCUAGCCUUUACCGUGUAAAGCCCCUUCGACGAGUCGAGUUGUUUGGGAAUGCAGCUCUAAAUGGGAGGUAAAUUUCUUCUAAAGCUAAAUACUGGCCAGAGACCGAUAGCGCGCAAGUAGAGUGAUCGAAAGAUGAAAAGCACUUUGGAAAGAGAGUUAAAAAGCACGUGAAAUUGUUGAAAGGGAAGCGCUUGCAGCCAGACUUGCCUGUAGUUGCUCAUCCGGGUUUUUACCCGGUGCACUCUUCUAUAGGCAGGCCAGCAUCAGUUUGGGCGGCUGGAUAAAGGUCUCUGUCAUGUACCUCUCUUCGGGGAGAACUUAUAGGGGAGACGACAUGCAACCAGCCCGGACUGAGGUCCGCGCAUCUGCUAGGAUGCUGGCGUAAUGGCUGU
rnacentral:rRNA from 1 species